CGAGGGGAGUGAAAAAGAACCUGAAACCGUGUACGUACAAGCAGUGGGAGCACAGGUUUACCUGUGUGACUGCGUACCUUUUGUAUAAUGGGUCAGCGACUUAUAUUCUGUAGCAAGGUUAACCGUAUAGGGGAGCCGGAGGGAAACCGAGUCUUAACCGGGCGUUAAGUUGCAGGGUAUAGACCCGAAACCCGGUGAUCUAGCCAUGGGCAGGUUGAAGGUUGGGUAACACUAACUGGAGGACCGAACCGACUAAUGUUGAAAAAUUAGCGGAUGACCUGUGGCUGGGGGUGAAAGGCCAAUCAAACCGGGAGAUAGCUGGUUCUCCCCGAAAGCUAUUUAGGUAGCGCCUCGUGAAUUCAUCUCCGGGGGUAGAGCACUGUUUCGGCUAGGGGGCCAUCCCGGCUUACCAACCCGAUGCAAACUGCGAAUACCGGAGAAUGUUAUCACGGGAGACACACGGCGGGUGCUAACGUCCGUCGUGAAGAGGGAAACAACCCAGACCGCCAGCUAAGGUCCCAAAGUCAUGGUUAAGUGGGAAACGAUGUGGGAAGGCCCAGACAGCCAGGAUGUUGGCUUAGAAGCAGCCAUCAUUUAAAGAAAGCGUAAUAGCUCACUGGUCGAGUCGGCCUGCGCGGAAGAUGUAACGGGGCUAAACCAUGCACCGAAGCUGCGGCAGCGACACUGUGUGUUGUUGGGUAGGGGAGCGUUCUGUAAGCCUGUGAAGGUGUGUCGUGAGGCAUGCUGGAGGUAUCAGAAGUGCGAAUGCUGACAUAAGUAACGAUAAAGCGGGUGAAAAGCCCGCUCGCCGGAAGACCAAGGGUUCCUGUCCAACGUUAAUCGGGGCAGGGUGAGUCGACCCCUAAGGCGAGGCCGAAAGGCGUAGUCGAUGGGAAACGGGUUAAUAUUCCCGUACUUGGUGUUACUGCGAAGGGGGGACGGAGAAGGCUAUGUUGGCCGGGCGACGGUUGUCCCGGUUUAAGCGUGUAGGUGUGUGUUCCAGGUAAAUCCGGUUCACUUUAACACUGAGGCGUGAUGACGAGGCACUACGGUGCUGAAGUGACAAAUGCCCUGCUUCCAGGAAAAGCCUCUAAGCAUCAGGUAACAUCAAAUCGUACCCCAAACCGACACAGGUGGUCAGGUAGAGAAUACCAAGGCGCUUGAGAGAACUCGGGUGAAGGAACUAGGCAAAAUGGUGCCGUAACUUCGGGAGAAGGCACGCUGACACGUAGGUGAAGUGAUUUACUCA
rnacentral:rRNA from 1 species